rnacentral:tRNA from 1 species
CGCCUUUGUGGAAUGGUUUUGCGACUCGGCUUCAGUAAGGCUGGGGAACUCGUCCUGGGAGUCGGGUGCAGGCUGGGAGCCUUCCUUGAGGUGCGA